UUUUUAGUAUAUUUUUGCUCCACGCAAAAAAGAUGCGUACGUGCGCGGAAUAUAUUAAGCACGGUUCCUUAUUUCCGACUUCUCGUGCUGAUCAGUUUGAUAUAUUAUACGUUUUUUUUCGACAUCGUAUGCAAAAGUUAUAGCCGUUUUACUUUUUCAUAACACUUUUUUGCGAAAUCAUGUCAAAAUUUAUGUUUUUGAAUUUUCCUAACUAAUAGAUGUAGUAACAUAAAUACAUCUCGAAGGAUUUUAAUUUUUGAAGUUUUUAUCAUUUUCUUUUCUUUUUUUCAAAACUAAAAUGGCGAUAGGGGGGGGCAGCAUAAUGGACGAAGGCGGGGGUAACAUGUGGGAUGCGAUCAUACCAGCACUAAAGCAUCGGAUCCCUCCUGGAAGUCCUCGUGUUGCAUAAUC
rnacentral:rRNA from 1 species